UUUUCUUCUUGUGUCGCUAAGAAAAGGUAUCGAUCAAAUCCUCUUUCAGGAAGGUAAACAAGCAGAUGGGAGACAGCUCUUUGUAGUCUGAUUUUUGCUUUCUCUGAACACAGCCGAGAAUUCGGAAAUCUGCCCCACCCCCGGCCAUAAUGGCAAAGGAAAGAAAACUGACAGAGGAGCGUGUUUCUAGCAGAUGAAUUAUUAGACUAUUAGACGAAUCAGAAGAUGAAAGCAAAGGACUGGACUCUAAUGAGGGUGGUGACAGGGAUUAUAUAUAAGUGAAAUCUCAGGCUGCACGUCUUCAAAUGGCAAUAUCCUAGAUGAAUUUUCCCAAAGUCCAGAAUUUGCAAUUCGACAGAAUUAUGAGCGACCAAGGGGUUUAAAAAAAUUCCUCGACUAUUGUGUUUUGACCAUGUAAGUGCAAGAAGAACCAGAAGUAGGGAUAAGCUAGAACCUAUCAGUGAUGCAUUUGCAAUCGGGAAGCAGUAUUUCACGGGGCUGGGCCUGACGGUCCAUGAGCAGUUCAUGGCAUUUGGAGGAUGUCGCCGGAUUCACGUAUUUAGACCUUCAAAACCUGGAAAAUAUGAGGGGAAGAUGUGGGUUUGCUAUGUUUAAAUUAUUACGUCAAUUUUCAACAAAGUCGUUUCCCACUAUCCGUUAUUUUUACUUCUAUAAGUCAUUCACAAAAAGACGCAAAUAUAAAAAUAGGCCCUUCUUGGGGCUGGCCUGGUCGCCGAGUGGUUAAGUUCACGCGCUCCGCUGCAGGCGGCCCAGUGUUUCGUUUGUUCGAAUCCUGGGCGCGGACAUGGCACUGCUCAUCACACCACGCUGAGGCAGCGUCCCACAUGCCACAACUAGAAGGACCCACAACAAAGAAUAUACAACUAUGUACCAGGGGGCUUUGGGGAGAAAAAGGAAAAAGAUAAAAAUCUUAAAAAAAAAAAAAAAGAGAGAGAGAAAGGAAAAAAAGGCCCGUCUUGCAUAAGGGCCCGUGGGAUCCCGGAUAGCAAAUGUUGAUGUCCUUGUCAGUACCCC
rnacentral:lncRNA from 1 species